GAUGAACGCUGGCGGCGUGCCUAAUACAUGCAAGUCGAGCGAACGGACGAGAAGCUUGCUUUUCUGAUGUUAGCGGCGGACGGGUGAGUAACACGUGGAUAACCUACCUAUAAGACUGGGAUAACUUCGGGAAACCGGAUCUAAUACCGGAUAAUAUUUUGAACCGCAUGGUUCAAAAGUGAAAGACGGUCUUUCUGUCACUUAUAGAUGGAUCCGCGCUGCAUUAGCUAGUGGGUACGGUAACGGCUUACCAAGGCAACGAUGCAUAGCCGACCUGAGAGGGUGAUCGGCCACACUGGAACUGAGACACGGUCCAGACUCCUACGGGAGGCAGCAGUAGGGAAUCUUCCGCAAUGGGCGAAAGCCUGACGGAGCAACGCCGCGUGAGUGAUGAAGGUCUUCGGAUCGUAAAACUCUGUUAUUAGGGAAGAACAUAUGUGUAAGUAACUGUGCACAUCUUGACGGUACCUAAUCAGAAAGCCACGGCUAACUACGUG
rnacentral:rRNA from 1 species